CUGCCUAAUACAUGCAAGUCGAACGAACUCUGGUAUUGAUUGGUGCUUGCAUCAUGAUUUACAUUUGAGUGAGUGGCGAACUGGUGAGUAACACGUGGGAAACCUGCCCAGAAGCGGGGGAUAACACCUGGAAACAGAUGCUAAUACCGCAUAACAACUUGGACCGCAUGGUCCGAGUUUGAAAGAUGGCUUCGGCUAUCACUUUUGGAUGGUCCCGCGGCGUAUUAGCUAGAUGGUGGGGUAACGGCUCACCAUGGCAAUGAUACGUAGCCGACCUGAGAGGGUAAUCGGCCACAUUGGGACUGAGACACGGCCCAAACUCCUACGGGAGGCAGCAGUAGGGAAUCUUCCACAAUGGACGAAAGUCUGAUGGAGCAACGCCGCGUGAGUGAAGAAGGGUUUCGGCUCGUAAAACUCUGUUGUUAAAGAAGAACAUAUCUGAGAGUAACUGUUCAGGUAUUGACGGUAUUUAACCAGAAAGCCACGGCUAACUACGUGCCAGCAGCCGCGGUAAUACGUAGGUGGCAAGCGUUGUCCGGAUUUAUUGGGCGUAAAGCGAGCGCAGGCGGUUUUUUAAGUCUGAUGUGAAAGCCUUCGGCUCAACCGAAGAAGUGCAUCGGAAACUGGGAAACUUGAGUGCAGAAGAGGACAGUGGAACUCCAUGUGUAGCGGUGAAAUGCGUAGAUAUAUGGAAGAACACCAGUGGCGAAGGCGGCUGUCUGGUCUGUAACUGACGCUGAGGCUCGAAAGUAUGGGUAGCAAACAGGAUUAGAUACCCUGGUAGUCCAUACCGUAAACGAUGAAUGCUAAGUGUUGGAGGGUUUCCGCCCUUCAGUGCUGCAGCUAACGCAUUAAGCAUUCCGCCUGGGGAGUACGGCCGCAAGGCUGAACUCAAAGGAUUUGACGGGGGCCCGCACAAGCGGUGGAGCAUGUGGUUUAAUUCGAAGCUACGCGAAGAACCUUACCA
rnacentral:rRNA from 2 species